rnacentral:rRNA from 1 species
UAGGUAAAAACCCCUAUAGAAUUUAGAUGGACGACAAGACCCUAAAACCUUCAUCAAUCCAUUAUUAAGAUUAUUUUACUGGGGCGGUAGAUAAUUUAAACAUUAUUCUAUAUAACAUAGUGAAUGACCAAUACUAACUUUAUAAAAUACAAAAAGGUACUUUAGGGAUAACAGCACAAUUCUUAUUAAGAGUAACCAUAUCGACAUAAGAGAUUAUGACCUCGAUGUUGAAUUGAUAUUACCUCACUAAGCAGAAAUAGUGAAAGUAGGUCUGUUCGACCUUU